rnacentral:rRNA from 1 species
CGAGUCUUUGAACGCAAGUUGCGCCCGAGGCUUGUCCGAGGGCAUUUCCGCUAGAGCGUCAC